GCCUGGGUGGCUCAGUUGGUUGAGCGUCUGAUUCAGCUCAGGUCAUGAUCUUCUGGUUUGUGGGUUCGAGCCCCGCGUUGGGCU
rnacentral:tRNA from 1 species